UACGUAGGGUGCGAGCGUUAAUCGGAAUUACUGGGCGUAAAGCGUGCGCAGGCGGUUUUGUAAGCCGGAUGUGAAAUCCCCGGGCUUAACCUGGGAAUGGCAUUCGGGACUGCAAGGCUGGAGUGCGGCAGAGGAGACUGGAAUUCCUGGUGUAGCAGGUGAAAUGCGUAGAUAUCAGGAGGAACACCGAUGGCGAAGGCAGGUCUCUGGGCUGACACUGACGCUCAUGCACGAAAG
rnacentral:rRNA from 1 species